rfam:[Clostridium] celerecrescens strain 152B c7, whole genome shotgun sequence.
GUAAAAGCGUUGAUAAGAACAAGUAGCAUUACGAUGGACCACACAGAAAGCAGCCGGCAGAUGAGAGGCGCGUGGAAUACGGAUUGCGAAUACAUCUUUGAGCUUCGCACCAAACGGCUAAGAUGCCAAGUAGGCUGCGACGGAUUCCCGCACCCGUUAUUGUGCUAGAGUAUCGCAUCAGGUACUCAAAGAGGUAGACAGCGUGAGCUGUUUAUAAACUUAAGGUGGUAACACGAGACUACAGCCUCGUCCUUUUG